UACGUAGGGUGCAAGCGUUGUCCGGAAUUAUUGGGCGUAAAGAGCUCGUAGGCGGUCUGUCGCGUCUGCUGUGAAAACUCGGGGCUUAACCCCGGGCCUGCAGUGGGUACGGGCAGACUAGAGUGCGGUAGGGGAGACUGGAAUUCCUGGUGUAGCGGUGGAAUGCGCAGAUAUCAGGAAGAACACCAACGGCGAAGGCAGCUCGCUGGGACGGAACUGACGCUGAGGCGCGAAAGCGUGGGGAGCGAACAGG
rnacentral:rRNA from 1 species